rnacentral:lncRNA from 1 species
CUUAAAGCUAAAACUAAAUGAGAAAAUAAAUACAGUUAAUGCAGUUCAUCAAACUGGAUAAACCUUAGAUUUUAUUUAGUUCAUUGGUGUUCAGACUAUAUUCCCAAGAGUUUUAGGAAGUUUCAUGAGGAAGAGAAAGAAGCUGAAUUAUUAGGCCUUCCUUUGAUCGACUUUAUGUAAGAUUUCAUUUUAGAGAAGUUUACUGUAUUAAUGGAGAGAC